rnacentral:lncRNA from 1 species
AGCAGGCAGCGUGCCACGCUCUGAGGGGUUUUGAGGGGAAAGGGGCUAAUCCGUUGCAGCAGGUGUCACGGGAAGGUGCUGUAGGAUGGGAAUGUAAUUUCUUGCCCAUCACAAAUGUGCCGCUGUGGGGCGUACCUGAGAAGCGUCUCACUCUACAUCUACAGGGUGCGCGGUGUGGCCAAAGCCAUCCGCAGAUUGGAGUGACGGAAAUAUUCCAAACUUAGUCCGAUCAUGCCAGCAAUAAUAUCCACUUGUAAAAGAAGAGUUACUCUAUUUGUGAAAAGCAGACGGGCUUGUGAAUAGUUGGCUACAGCAGAGGUGAAAUUAACAAUUUUUGUGAAGUUUUGUGUAAACACUAAAAGGGGAAAUUUACAUGAAACCGCUGUCCAGCACUUGGGCUUGCACCUCAAUGGCUUUUACCUCAAGGGCUUUCAUUAUCAACAGCCUAAUGACUUAAAACUACUGUAUUUUCUUAGGUUUAGCAGGAUCAUGGGGCCAAAGGGUCUAUAACGUGCUCUAGAAGAACUACACAACCAGUGUGUCAGGGAGUACAGCUCUGUCAGUAGCUGAAGUUAGCUCAGUUGAAAAGUAUGCUGAAGAUUUGGUGAGAGAGCUGAAUGACGUGAUGUAGAGGAAUACUGCAGGUUUGUUUGUUAAAGUAGGCUAUAGAGAAUUCCCAGAUCACCACUACAGGCAAUUUGCCCCUGAGGUAUGCUGUAGAAAAUUCCUAGCAUAAACAGUAUCUGGCAUGAUGAGCAAUCUGGGCAUAAUUAGUAAAAGGGAAGCAUGGCAAUAUCAAAAAUCUGUCAGUCAGCAGUGAAAGAGUUUUUAAUCAAACUCGGAACAAAAACAUUGACUUUUUACAUGGCAAUCUCACUGUCAAUAACUAGGAGGCAGAGGUGGGAUCUCUGGGAAGGGAGCGGGUAGGGAAGCAGUUUUCUGCUGUCACUUACAAUUAAUGGAACAGUUCAAGGUCUCAUUUUCACAAAGCACGUACUUGGUUAUCCUCCCCUGCCCACAUUGAGGAGCAGCAAGAAGUACAGAUGGCAUUUAACACUUUCACUCUGCACUGAUUGUGUUUUCUCAAAAGAGACUCGCAGAAGGUCUGGCUGCAUGCACACACAGAGCCUUCUGUGUUUUUGCAAGAAAUUGUUUAGUGUUUGUCUGUCCUGUAAUAGUAAAUUUGAAUCCUCUUGUUAGUAAGCAUAGCUGCUCUAUUCAGUAUAGAAGUUCUUUAAAGGGUUUAACUUUGCUCCAUAUAGUGUAGAAAAUCAGUUUUUGCCUCCUGAUAAUAGGUA